AUCCAGCUGAAGAGUCCCAAAUAGGACGAAACGCACAUCAAACUGGAU
rnacentral:hammerhead_ribozyme from 1 species